CGGGUGAGUAAUGCGUGACCAACCUGCCCCAUGCUCCAGAAUAGCUCUUGGAAACGGGUGGUAAUGCUGGAUGCUCCAACUUGACGCAUGUCUUGUUGGGAAAGUGUUUAGUGGCAUGGGAUGGGGGUCGCGUCCUAUCAGCUUGUAGGCGGGGUAAUGGCCCACCUAGGCUUCGACGGGUAGCCGGCCUGAGAGGGCGGACGGCCACAUUGGGACUGAGAUACGGCCCAGACUCCUACGGGAGGCAGCAGAC
rnacentral:rRNA from 1 species